UCAUACCAGUACUUAAAAAGCCUGGUUCGGAACCCCGACAACCUCUAGAACGACAGGCCCAUCUUCAACCUGCCACUUCUGAGUAAGCUUAUCGAACGUGCUGUGUAUAGCCAACUUUAACUCCAUCUGGCCACUCACAACCUACUCGAGCCCUUCCAGCUGGGCAUCAAAGCUGGACACAGCUCACGAAUGCCCGUCUCAUGAAUGUCCGACUCAUGAAUGACGACUCAUGAAUGACGACUCAUGAAUGACGACUCAUGAAUGACGACUCAUGAAUGACGACUCAUGAAUGACGACUCAUGAAUGACGACUCAUGAAUGACGACUCAUGAAUGACGACUCUGGGGCUGCCAGCACCCUCAUAGUGCUGGACCUCAACGCGGCAUUCAAGACACUGUCAGGGCUGGAGAGUCUCCGGGCUCGUUUAAGGCACAUGCUAAAGACUGAGCUGUUCAGAAAAGCUUUCAAAGACCUAUGUUAAUUCUGUUCCCCUGACGACACCUGUAUAUAGCUUUGAUUGUGGUCUGCUUACAAUGUUCUGCGUUUCUGAUUGUUAUCAUUUUAUUUUGGAAUAUUUUCUUCAGCGUCAUAGGUGAGAAAAGCACUUUACAUUAAGUAUUAUUAGUGUGUAUCUCAGUGAACCCUAGCCAGAGGUAAAGGGGUGUAUCAGUCAACCCUAGCCAGAGGUAAAGGGGUGUAUCAGUCAACCCUAGCCAGAGGUAAAGGGGUGUAUCAGUCAACCCUAGCCAGAGGUAAAGGGGUGUAUCAGUCAACCCUAGCCAGAGGUAAAGGGGUGUAUCAGUCAACCCUAGCCAGAGGUAAAGGGGUGUAUCAGUCAACCCUAGCCAGAGGUAAAGGGGUGUAUCAGUGAACCCCAGACAGAGGUAAAGGGGUGUAUCAGUGAACCCCAGACAGAGGUAAAGGGGUGUAUCAGUGAACCCUAGCCAGAGGUAAAGGGGUGUAGUGUGUAUCAGUGAACCCUAGACAGAGGUAAAGGGGUGUAGUGUGUAUCAGUGAACCCUAGACAGAGGUAAAGGGGUGUAGUGUGUAUCAGUGAACCCUAGACAGAGGUAAAGGGGUGUAGUGUGUAUCAGUGAACCCUAGACAGAGGUAAAUGGGUGUUGUGUGUAUCAGUGAACCCUAGACAGAGGUAAAGGGGUGUAGUGUGUAUCAGUGAACCCUAGACAGAGGUAAAGGGGUGUAGUGUGUAUCAGUGAACCCUAGACAGAGGUAAAUGGGUGUAGUGUGUAUCAGUGAACCCUAGACAGAGGUAAAGGGGUGUAGUGUGUAUCAGUGAACCCUAGACAGAGGUAAA